UUCUUUCUCUACAUCUGUUUCAGAGAUGAUGGUGUCUACAGUCUGGGAAGCUGCUGUCCCUGAGGUCCUGGGGAUUGAACUCAGGUAGUCAAGAUUGGCAGCAAGUGCCUUUAUCGGCUGAGCCACCACACUGCUCUCCACCCCAAGCCAGUUGUCAUUUACAAUUACAUAAAAAGAUGUUAUGUGAAGGGAUAAGCAGAGGAAAAAAAAAAGGUAUGCAGAAGUUGCUCAAUGAUGGCAACAGCUGCUAUUACGGUUACUGAAGUUCUUACUGUCACAGCAGGAAAGGAGGAGACAUUACCACUGGACUGCCACCAUCUUCAUCCUAAGGCAUCCUGUCAUGAACAACCUUGAUCAACAAUCCCAUGAGGGCCUCAAGUUUCAGUUAUGCUAGCUUGUAAGUCUGAUGGGACUCCAAUCGUGACCUCCUUAGAUGGCUUCUCCUGGAGUUUAGAUUCCAGAUAUGAUUUUCAACCACUGGGGGACAUCUUUUAGUUUCCUAAACUUCAUUUUGCCUGUGCUAGAUGAGAGUUGAACUAUGUGUCAAUCAAAUCUAAGAGGUGGAGCCAUUUGAAUCUCUGAAUGACCCCCUCUGGUGGCUCCUCUCUUUCCUUGCACACACUUCUGACUAACACACACCCAUUUUCUCUGUUGCUCUUUUUGUAAUUAAUAACUCGAUGUGGGGACUACACAAGUAGGAAGCCACUGCUUUUUUGUCUUCCU
ensembl:lincRNA Gm13660 predicted gene 13660